AAAAUGUCACGCUGAGUAAGAUUGCUCAGUACAGCUACUCUCUAAAGAGCCAGAAGGUCAAGCAGACUUUCCUCCAUCUCAGGAUCCUACUAGAUACUGUUGCAGAGAACCAUGGGAGGGCCAGUGGCUACAUGGUAUUUCUUCUCCACAAGCACCACCAGCAUGUCCUCUAUCUUCAGAACUCCAAGCUUCUCUACAGAACUCCCCUGAGCUGAGAGCUGCUCGCUGUCCUCCUGAUGUGUUUACUUUUAUUGUGUGGAUAGAUUGUAGUUUUGUGCACAUUUAAGUUUCUCCUUAGCGAACAAUUCCUUGAUGCUAAACAUUUGAAUAUUUCUGACCCUUGGUCAUGUAAUUCUCAGGCCUCUUGUGCUGACUCACUGAGGUGGACAUCAGGGUGAAUGUUGCCAUGCACUCUGGGAGAUGAAGACUUUGAGAAAUCUCAUUUAUCACUUUGCUAG
rnacentral:lncRNA from 1 species